rnacentral:rRNA from 1 species
GUAUAGCAAUAGCUACUUGCAUCAUUCUAAAUAUGAUGCAAGAUCGACUAUGUCGAAUAAAAUUCUAGGUAGAAUUAUGAUAAUGACAUUGUCUGCCUAUGUGUCUUGACCAAAUUACGUGCCAGCAGUCGCGGUAAUACGUAGAAGACUAGUGUUAUUCAUGUUUAAUCGGUUUAAAGGGUACCUAGACGGUAAAUCAAGCCUAAAAGGAAAUAAAUGAAGGGACUAAUUUACUAGAGUUACUUAUGAGGGGGUAUUAAAGUACUGCUGGUGUAGAGAUGAAAUUCUGUCAUACCUCUUUUCAAUAGAAAAAUAAUGGCACAGGUAUAGGCGAAAGCAUCCCCUUAUGUGAUAACUGACGUUGAGGGACGAAGGCUUUGUGUAGCGAACAGGAUUAGAUACCCCAGUAGUCAAAGCAGAAAAUGAUGAAUGUCAUAGAUUAGAUAUAUAAGUUUAUUCUAUAAAUGAAAGUGUAAGCAUUCCACCUCAAGAGUAAUUUGGCAACAUUGGAACUGAAAUCAUUAGACCGUUUCUGAAACCAGUAGUGAAGUAUGUUGUUUAAUUUGAUGAUCCGCAAAAAACCUUACCACAAUUUGAAUAUUUAUAUCUUUUAUUGUUUUUCUUUUUAACUUUCUUCUGAUUUUCUACUUAAAAGAUAACAAUAACAAGAAAAAAGAGGCAAUAAGAUAUAUUUACAAGCGUUGCACGGCUGUCUUCAGUUAAUGUCGCGAGACUCUGGUUAGUUCCAUUAAAUUAACGUAAACCCUUACUUUAUUUUUAUAUAGAGUAGUUCCCCGCUAUAUUGGAUAUGAUAACAGGGACUAAGACAAGUCAUCAUGGCCUAAAUAUUGUGGGCUAUA